rnacentral:lncRNA from 1 species
GAUCCAUUCACUUUAUCAAAUCUCUCUUGGAGAUCUGCCCAUACCUUGCAAGCACUUGUCACGUACACGAUUCCACUAAGCAAUUCAGUACAAACAAAAUUCAUAAUCCAUGAGAGUACGAUUGCAUUACAUUUCUCCCACAAAUCAUGAAGGGAGACAUCAAAUUUCUCUUUAGGAUACCUGCCAUCAACGAAUCCUAAUUUGCUCUUCCCUAACAAACUAAUUCGCAUUGAACUACUCCACAAUGCAUAAUUUUC